rnacentral:lncRNA from 1 species
AAGCUAAACCACCUGGUUGAGGACUCGAAGAUCAUGUUCCUGAAGGAGAUGAGCUGGUUCUCUGCCCAUUAAAAAACCCUAGUCUAUCAACCUUUUCCUGGGAGCAUCCCAAAAGUUCUAAAGGAUAUCCUUAAAGGAUGAAGUUCUGAAGAUCAUGCCAGCACAGAAGAUGCUAUGUGGACCAGGUUCAAGGCUUUGAUUGCUAUUGGGGACUUCAGUGGUGAUGUUGGACUUGGUGUUAAGUGGUCCAAGGAUGUAGCCAAUUAAGGAGAUACCAUCUUGACCAAGCUUUCCAUUGUCCCUGUGUGGAGCAAGUACUAGGGGAACAAGAUUGGCAAGCCCCACUUUGUUCCUCACAAGGUGACAGGCUGCUGUGGUUCUAUGCUGAUGCACCUCACCACUAGGUCCAGGGGCACUGGCAUUGUUCCUGCACCCGUGUCCAGAAAAGUGCUCCAUAUGGCUGGUCCUAAUGGCUGCAAAACAUCGGCCAGAGGCUGUGCUGCUACCCGGGCAACUUCAUCAAGACCAUCUCCAAGUCCUACAGCCUCUCAACCCUGGGACCUCUGGGGAAAGACUGUGUUCAUCAAGUUGUCUCAUCAGGAAUUCAUUAACCACCUUGUGAAAACUCACACCAGAGUUUCUGUUCAGAGGACCCAGGCUCCAGCUGUGGCUACCACA